GGUUACAGUGUAGUAAAAAAGGCCCCUCACAAGAAAGGAACGGAAACGCACAUGCUGCAAUCAGUUGCUAAAUCACCAUGGGAUAUCGUAGGUUAUCAAAACGCAUUUAUCUGGUACCAAGCACAAUGGCACCAUUUGCAAACGUGUGGCAAAUUAGAAACCACGCAAACAUAAACAGUGACUCAAGUAUAUCACUGUCUGAUAAUAGUGAUACAAUAAUUUGUCUUACAUAUAUACAUACAUGCUUCUGAGAUUUGAGCUUAUAAUUGUCACAUUCAAUUUCAUAAAAGAAACGGACAUACUAGUAGUAUUUCAAUAAAUGUCGGCAAAUAUUUACAAAGCCAUUGCGCAUGCGCACUCACUACCAAAUUCGAAAAAGCAGUGUUCUCUUUUGAAGGUAACCAAAGAAAUAAAGACACGUGAUGGCGAUGAACAAAUGGACGACCGUAGUUCUUAUCAUUGCAGCGUUUUGCUUUUCAGCGCUUAUUUUUCAUCACGUUUGGGAAGUUAAACCGAAUCUUUUCUCUAAACACUCGAGUAAUUCUAAAAAGGAACUUAAACAAAAGUGCUCUAUAACCACAGCGUUCAUCAAACGUCUUGGCACCGUCUUGACUCCCUCAGUGAAGACCUUUUAGAACAAUUAAGAGGGAAAUGGAUUCUCCCUCCUUCCAAGCUGUCCUAUAAUCUUUCCAAACCAAAGGCAACAUACUGGGACCAAAUUGGACAAUCAAAAUUGGUAGACAAAAUUCUGAAGCAACGCCGCAAAGGAUUUUUUGUGGAAUCAGGAGCAUAUGAUGGAGAGGCUCAUUCCAAUUCUCUCUUUUUUGAGAUUUCACGAGACUGGGAAGGAUUACUUGUGGAGCCAAACCCGUGGUCUUUUUAAGUGCUUUUGAACAAAAACAGGAAAACUUAUGCUGCUAAUACGUGCUUGGCAACGGGCCACAGUCCCGCAAUGGUUGAUUUUACGUUCGCUCAAGAGAUAGGAGGAAUGGCCGAAAAAAGCUACGCUAUUUCUAAGGGCGAACAAAACGCCAUUGAAGAAAAAGUCGCAUACAGUGUUUUCCAAUUCGUUCUCUCCUGGCCGCCAUCGGUAGGAAUCACGUGGACCACUUUACCUUGGACGUAGAGGGUGCCGAAAUACAAAUCCUUAAGUCGUUUCCAUGGGAACACGUCAGCGUUGACGUGUGGACGAUAGAGUACGCAGUUCACGGAGGAGGUCCUGAUACUCCAAAACGUGAGAAAGCAAUCAGGGAAAUCUUUAAAAAUACAGGACUCUACAGGGAAGGGACAAUACUUGAGGCCCAAGACAUACGGUUUGUUAGAAAGGACGUAACACAAUGAAAAAGCAAUAUCAUAAAUAUGUCACAUAUAAAACUGGUCUGUUUAGUGUUAACGUGAUACAAUAUGAAUGAUACCGAUAAAUGUUUGUUAUAGAGGACAUACCAGAAUGACAAAGCAAUCAGGAAUAUGUAUAAAAUAUACAACUAUGUUCUUGUACAAUUAUUUAAUUUUCACUGAA